rnacentral:rRNA from 1 species
GACGAACGCUGGCGGCGUGCCUAACACAUGCAAGUCGAGCGGAGGCAGCUAAGGAGCAAUCUGAAGCUGUCUGAGCGGCGGACGGGUGAGUAACGCGUGAGCAACCUGCCUUUCACAGGGGGAUAACGCAGCGAAAGCUGCACUAAUACCGCAUGAGACCACAGUGGAGAUACCACAGGGGUCAAAGGGGAAAUCCGGUGAGAGAUGGGCUCGCGUCCGAUUAGGUAGUUGGUGAGGUAAAGGCCCACCAAGCCAAUGAUCGGUAGCCGGCCUGAGAGGGUGAACGGCCACAUUGGAACUGAGAGACGGUCCAAACUCCUACGGGUGGCAG